GCCGGAAUAGCUCAGCUGGGAGAGCAACAGACUGAAGUUGUUUGAUUUCUGGAGGUCCCGUGUUCAAUCCACGGUUCUGGCA
rnacentral:tRNA from 1 species